UAACCCAAAAAGCCCAGGCCUAAUUCCGUCCCACCGCCCCCGGUAAUCGUAGGGUGCCAAGCUUUUUCGGGAUUUUUUGGCCGUAAAGCAAGGCCAGGCGGUUUCUAAAUUUGAAAGGGAAAGCCCCGGGUUCACCCGGGAAGGGCCUUUGGAACCUGGCAGACUUGAGUGCAGAGGAGGAGAGUGGAAUUCCAUGUGUAGCGGUGAAAUGCGUAGAUAUAUGGAGGACCACCGGUGGCGAAGGCGGUUUUCUGUUCUGUAACUGCCGCUGAGGCUGGAAAGCGUGGGGACCAACCAGGAUUAGAUACCCUGGUAGUCCACCCCGUAAACGAUGAGUGUUAGGUGUUGGAGGGUUUCCGCCUUUCAGUGCGGCAGCUAACCCAUUAACCAUUCCCCCUGGGGAGUACGCCCGCAAGGUUGAAACUCAAAGGAAUUGACGGGGGCCCGCCCAAGCGGUGGACCAUGUGGUUUAAUUGGAAGCAACGCGAAGACCCUUACCAGUUCUUGCCAUCCUUUGCCCAUUUUAAGGAAGAGGCUUCCCCUUCGGGGCCAAGGUGCCAGGUGGUGCAUGGUUGUCGUCAGCUCGUGUCGUGAGAUGUUGGGUUAAGUCCCGCAACGAGCGCAACCCUUAUUGUUAGUUGCCAUCAUUCAGUUGGCCAUUCUACCAAGACUGCCGGUACCAACCCGGAGGAAGGUGGGGAGGACGUCAAUUCAUCAUGCCCCUUAUGCCCUGGGCUCCCCACGUGUUCCAAUGGAAGGUCCAACGAGUUGGGAGUUGGGGAGGUUAAGUUAAUUUCUUAAAGCUUUUUUCAGUUCGGAUGCCAGGCUGCAAUUCCCUUCCUUGAUGCCGGAUUCGUUGGUAUUCGGGGAUCACCACCCCGCGUUUAUUUUUUUUCCGUAUUUCUUACUCACCACUCACUACCCCCCUAUAUGUUGUAUAUAGUUCUCGCUCAUGACUCAGUAACUAGAGACAACCUCCUUGAUGAGUUAUCCGUUCCCC
rnacentral:rRNA from 1 species